GCUGUCUAAUCUCUUUUAGGAGUACCAGAGA
rnacentral:piRNA from 1 species